UGAGAUGAAGCACUGUAGCUCAGGAAGGGAGAAGUUGUUCUGCAGCCAUCAGCCUGGAAGCGGUGAGUCAGGGGUGGG
rnacentral:precursor_RNA from 1 species